UUUUCUAAGUUUUAGUAAUUUUGUAAAUUAUAACUCAAGCAUAUUCAGCCAAUAUAGCAGCGAAUAAUAGUGAAAGGGAAAUUUAUCAUCGGCACCUUGAUUUCAAAAAAAAAUGAGUCUGAAAAGCUGUAAGCUCCUGACAUUAAAACAAAAGGUUCUGAAAAUUAUUACAGACGUUUUAAUUGCCUUACCUGAAUCUCUUGAUGAGAAAGAACUAACUGAAUUCGUUGCGGUUAGGUUCGGCGUGCCUGAAAAGGAUGUCGAAAAACAUGUAAGGGAUGUGUUGAAAGAAGGUGUUAAGAGUAAAUACUUUCAGAUGGAUAAUGGAAAAUACGAAUUGUCUGUACAAAUUUGAAAAAUAUUCAAAAAUUUGUCAAACAAAUAUGGCCGAUAACUGCUUGCAA